rnacentral:rRNA from 1 species
UGGGGAAUCUUGCGCAAUGGGCGAAAGCCUGACGCAGCAACGCCGCGUGUGUGAUGAAGGUCUUCGGAUCGUAAAGCACUGUCGCGAGGGAAGAUACGCCACUUGAUAAUACCGGGUGGCUAAGACGGUACCUCGAGAGGAAGCACCGGCUAACUCUGUGCCAGCAGCCGCGGUAAUACAGAGGGUGCGAGCGUUGUUCGGAAUUAUUGGGCGUAAAGCGCUUGUAGGCGGCUUGUUAAGUCGCGUGUGAAAUCCCCUGGCUUAACCAGGGAAGUGCGCGCGAAACUGGCGAGCUUGAAUGCCGGAGAGGGUCGCGGAAUUCCCGGUGUAGAGGUGAAAUUCGUAGAUAUCGGGAGGAACACCAGUGGCGAAGGCGGCGACCUGGACGGACAUUGACGCUGAGACGCGAAAGCGUGGGGAGCAAACAGGAUUAGAUACCCGUGUAGUCC